UAUCUGAAAUGGACAAUAUGGCGGCAUACACAUUGUUGGAUAACAUCAUGGAGCAACAAAAGUUUUUAUUUAAUAACGGAAUAAUUGUUUUAAAUUCUUACAUUCCACCCGCAACUAACGAUGGGAGAUUAGAAUCCGCUGAUAACUUCCAAGUUGAGAGGAAGUAAAAUUAUCGCCAUGUAAAGGAGACUCAAAAGUGUCUACGUCUACGCAUAGAAAACUGCAAAGGACUACACGGACAUCCCAGAACUUCAGAGAGCAGUUUUGAGAAGACUCUUAUUUGGAGCUACUUAAGAGAGUGAUCCUUAGAACAGAUGACCCAAGACUCCCUGAAGUGCCACCACCAACGCCUGAGCUGCUACAACUUUGAGAGCAAGUCGCCAAGCAACACAGGGUGCAGUAAGCACAUCUUUGAGCUGGGAAGAACCGGAGCUUUCCCUGUUUUCAGACGUGUGAAAACCUAGAGUACUCAGAAUAGUUGUUGAAAGAGGUGGGGGCCUACAACCAAACAUAAAUAAGGGAAGUUUGUGCGGGCAAAAACUUGAGAAACAAUAUGUUAUAGUCUUUAUUGUACUUUUGGAAAGGUUUUAGAAUGAUUUACUAAAUCGUUUUCUUUGCCUGGAUAUCUAUGUUCUUGACGGUUUACACUUGAAAUUAGCAGACCUACCAGUUGGUAGAUAUACAGGAAGGCGGAUGGACUACCCUGGUGUAAAUACUAAACAAGUCAGUCCAAUUACACAGACCUAUAUAUUUUUAUCAACUUUUUUUGAUUUCACAAUAUACAACACACAAGGCAGGAUCACGUUACAAAUACUAGCCGACAACACUAACAUAAAAUACAACUAUUUACAUACUGUAACGAUGUGCGCUGAGAGUUUGGGGAGCAAGUUCAGGGAGUGUUUUAAUAUAAUAACAAAACAAGAACCCCAACAGCACACAGACAUGAAACUGAAACAAUGACACCUGGCAAAGGAAACAAAGGGAGUGCUAUAUAUAGGGCAGGUAAUCAAGGAGGUGAUGCAGUCCAGGUGAGUGAUGACACGCAGUUUCGCGUAACGAUGGUGACAGGUGUGCGCCAUAAUGAGCAGCCUGGUGACCUGGAGAGGGAGCACAUGUGACACAUACUACCAGGAGUCAAUUAUUUGAGUGCACAAUGUGACAUUUACAGAAAAGAAGUAGAGUUUACAAUAAAAAAUAUUCUAUAUUAUUCUCAGAAAAGAACAUCCCCCCCCCCACUCCCCUACCAUGUAGGUCCAUUGCCUGGUCAAGAGUUGUUGAUAUCUGAUAGAGUUUAGCAUGAUACAUCCAAUGCCUCAACUGGAUUUGCCCGAGCUUUGUUUAUCACGGCCACUGACCGCUCUAUACGAACAAUAUCUUGAAAAUAUGGUAAUCAUGUUUGAGUCGAAGAAGAUUGGAGGGGUAAUCCAAGCACUAAGGAUAACCUUUUUUGCUGCUGUCAACCCCGCUUAAAUUAUUAUUUUCUGAACCAGUUGCAAUAAAAAUUCAGAGUCAUCAUUCAACAAACAUAAAUGGUGGAUCUUUGUUCCCCAUUUUUUCUAAGGAAAUCUGAAACGUGACCAGAACUGGGACACCACAGGACAUUCCCAAAACAUUAGUGCAUUAGUGUUCCAACACUAUUCGUACGGCAUCUAUCACGUACUGGAGUAGGAAUCAGCUUCAUCUUAAAACGUCUAAAUGGGGUUGCAUAACUUCUAUGUAUAAGCUUAUAAUGUAUAAACUGGUGUGCUGGCUUCUUAGAGAUAACAAAUACAUAUUCCCAAAUGGUAUCCCAGUUCAGGUCGUGCACCAAUCCCUGCAUUACACGGUUCCAUACUAGAGUGACACCCAAUGUAGAGCAUUUAACAGACAGUACGAGUCCGUUUCAUUUUUUCGUUUCAUUGUGCAUGUUCUUCCACUUAAAAAGAUGAGAGAGGUCUGUAAUUUUCAUCAUAGGUACACUUCAACUAUGACAGACAAAAUUUGAAAAAGAAAUCCAGAAAAUCACAUUGUAGGAUUUUUAAUGAAUUUAUUUGCAAAUUAUGGUGGAAAAUAAGUAUUUGGUCAAUAACAAAAGUUUCUCAGUACUUUGUUAUAUACCCUUUGUUGGCAAUGACAGAGGUCAAACGUUUUCUGUAAGUCUUCACAAGGUUUUCACACACUGUUGCUGGUAUUUUGGCCCAUUCCUCCAUGCAGAUCUGCUCUAGAGCAGUGAUGUUUUGGGGCUGUUGCUGGGCAACACGGCCUUUCAACUCCCUCCAAAGAUCAUCUAUGGGGUUGAGAUCUGGAGACUGGCUAGGCCACUCCAGGAUCUUGAAAUGCUUCUUACGAAGCCACUCCUUCGUUGCCCGGGUGGUGUGUUUGGGAUCAUUGUCAUGCUGAAAGACCCAGCCACGUUUCAUCUUCAAUGCCCUUGCUGAUGGAAGGAGGUUUUCACUCAAAAUCUCACGAUACAUGGCUCCAUUCAUUCUUUCCUUUACACGGAUCAGUCGUCCUGGUCCCUUUGCAGAAAAACAGACCCAAAGCAUGAUGUUUCCACCCCCAUGCUUCACAGUAGGUAUGGUGUUCUUUGGAUGCAACUCAGCAUUCUUUGUCCUCCAAACACGACGAGUUGAGUUUUUACCAAGAAGUUCUAUUUUGGUUUCAUCUGACCAUAUGACAUUCUCCCAAUCUUCUUCUGGAUCAUCCAAAUGCUCUCUAGCAAACUUCAGACGGGCCUGGACAUGUACUGGCUUAAGCAGGGGGACACGUCUGGCACGUCUUGUGCAUUAUUCAUUAAAAUGACAAUUGAAUGCUUAGAUAACCGACGCAGAAAAAAAAUGUUUUUACAAAGAAUUAAGCAUAAUGAUUAUGGUUCUAAAUUGCAUGAAAAAUCUGUUUCACUUGUUAGAAAAAUGGUACAUUCUCCAACACCCCCUAUGCUCACGUAAUUUGUGCCCCCUCUAAAUUAAUGGGUGCAUGACACCCCUGCCUACCCUCACCCUGUACUGAAUUGUUACAAAUGAAUGUUUGCAUGCAUGGUACGCUUAUGCAUAAUAUUACAUAACAUAAUGUUUGUUUUUUUAAACGCAUUACAUUACGAUUCACAGUGCUCAGACAUACAUACAGGCGUCUUACGUUCUCUCUCCCAUAAAGUGGCCAGUCUUCUUCAUCCAUCUUUUUGAUCCUCUUUUGUCACAAAUUCUUUUCCCUAAUCUACUCCUACCCUCUCCCUAGCCCUGACUUUCCAAUGCUGACCCUUGGACAACGUAGUCAGGUUCAUUUUGUAUUUGACAUCCCUUGUCUGUCACGAAUGUUGAAUAAAAUUUCAGUUGAACUUA